ensembl:lncRNA
GCUUCAUGUGAGGAGCGAGUGGGCGGUUCUUGUUCCUGCAAUCAUCCAUGUUUCCCAACAGGAGAGAGACAAGUGCAAAGUAUGUCUUUAAAGCCCUAAGGAGGAUAAACAAACAGACCUCGCUGCCUCUUCUUCUCAUCAUUUGCACUCAGCUGCCUGAGGCGGAAAAGAAAAGGGACAGAGAGCCCAGUUGGGCUCCUCUGCCAGAUGACCCAAACCCAACAAAAAGGAAGUACACUGACUUUUCUUCUUAUCCUUUGUAUUGCUCAGAAGAGACACAAUAAUGAGUAACAGGCAGAAAGCCCACUCUGCUAUGCUGAAAGGUAGUGAAUUACAGUGCUGAUGAAUAGAAGAUAAACAAUGCACCAUCCCCAUUAAUUAUAGCAAAAUAUCUAAGUGCUAAACUAACUCAUUGCAGGUGAUACUUUACAUCCACGCUUUGACUUUACACAUUGGCUUCAUACACUUUUUUUUUACAGUAAGCUAAAACCCUCCGAGAUUCAAGCUGCAAGAAUAAUUGAUGAUACUUUUGUCAUCUCUCCCUGUGUUUUUUACAAGGAACUAGCAGGGAAUGGCCAUGGGAUUUAACAUGUGAUUUAUUGAAUCGUAUAUAUUUGGAUAAACUGCAUAUUACUCAGAAAGGUCCAGUAUAGCACUGGGCCUAUAUGAUGAAUGCUGGGGAUAUGGUGAUCCCAAGAAAGUUGAAGUAAUGAGCUUCCCAAGUAGUUUGAGUUCACCAUUUGCUAGAAAAAGAAGACAUAGCUAGCAGAGUUAUUGCAAGAAAGAUUGUUUUUCAUUAUUCUGGCUACACAUGUAAUUCCCCCACUGGUGGAUGUGUAUAUUAAUAAGUUUGAGCUUCAGUGCCUUGGUGCUUCGAGUAUAAAGGAUAUAACAUUUUUCUUGGAGGACUCUUUGUUGUGUGCUCUACCUGUAUGGCCACCAAGAUCUCUUUGAUGGCAGGGAUAGUACAGCCAAUUGGUCUCCUUGUUUUGGAAUUCCAAAUAGAUUUUGAUUGUCAAAUUGGCUAUUAUUGUGACAGCAGAAUGGUUGACUUUCCAAAUAAACCUGAAGUAUGACAUUAUAACGUCCCAUUUUCCAACUUCCAAAAUUGCUGGUAGUUUGAGCUCAACUAGGAUGCAAAAACAGCACAGUUUAAUAACUAAUAGAGGAGUUCCUGGUUGUUAUUUGGGUGUUGUUCUAUCAGCUUCUUAGCAUUUUCUGUCAGCCUGCUGUUCAGUUGGGUCAUUUGUUAUCUCUUAAAUUGGCAAUAGGUGGCAGUAAAGGGGCCUUUUAGAUCUCACUUCAUCAAGAAACCCUAGCAGCAACUAGCAAUAGUAACAGUUACUUUUCCAACUACCCGAUAAAUAACAUGUCUCAUUACUUUUAAACACUAUAAUGCAUAAUGGAAAAUUAAAUAUCUUCAGAAAGUUACUUUUCAAGCAGGCCUCCACCCAUCUCUAGGUUAAUAAGGUGACCAUUAUGCCAACCUAUCAUGCAAUUUUCUUGGCAAGAUUUGUUCAGAGUGUUAUCGAACACGGCACCCUCACCCCUAAUUUAAAAAAGGCAUUUAUAAUUCUCCAAGAGCAAGGGCCAGGAUGAAUUGCAGCACCAUCCUUACCAUUAGAAGAAGUCUUUCCCAACCUCCAUAGACCAGCAGCAGGACACACUCCCAAGAAGUCAAUUUUUUCUAUUUUAUACUUUUUGACCCAAUUCUUUAAUCAAAGCUAAUCUGGAUCAGUGCAUGUUCGACGGGAGUCAGGACUCCUUAAAUGUGUACCUCAGGAUCGAGUGCGUAUCUCAUAGAGCAGGGUCCACCUGAGAGCCUUUCUCAUAGACCCCAGGAAUCUUUAAGGGGCGGCCCAGUCCCAACUUUGGCCUGAUCUAAGGGAGCCAACCCUGCUAGUCCACACCAGCACCUGUCUCAUGGACCCUGGCCCCAGUGGAAAGUCUCUCUAUGGACAACAAAAUCUUCAGUUUACUUAAAUGAAACAUAUCCUUAUGAUGCUACGACAUAUCUUUUCCCAUGGCUUCAUAACAUUUUCUUUACUUAUGUCUCCAUUUUCUUUUCUCUCUGGCUAAUAUCCGUAUGUGCGCAGGAAUCAGAUAAUAAAAAGAGGGAAAGGAAAUCACCUUUCUAACCUUUUCAUACCUGACCAUGGUGCAGCCAUUUCAUUUCCCCAGACCCUUGCUCCUCUCCCCUAUUUCCUUGCCUAUGAAUUAUGCUUGAUCACAUUUUAUUUUAUUUUAUUUCCUAUACAUAUAUUAAAUAGAAGGCAAACUUCAAUGAACUAUUUUAACCUAUGCUCAACCUCUGGGCAAAGUCAACAUUCUUGGAAUUUCUUGUCGAGGCAUUAAACUGGAGGCACAGCAAGGACAAUUAUGCCUCGGACAUUAUCUUUCUGCAAGUAAGCUGAUAUUCUUACUAUUGUCAUCCUGGAAUCCCCUUUCGGGGGAUUCAAGCCAUCAACUAAGCCAAGCAAUGAACAAAGGAAAUAUUAUUUAUUUAUUUAUUUACAUCACUUUUACCCUGCCUUUCUCCCCAAGGAGACUCAAAGAGGCUUACAAUAAAUAGGCAAAAAUUUAAUGCCUAAAAACAAUGUAAAAACAACAAUUCAUAUAAAACAAUCUACAAAACAACAAUUCAUAUAAAAAAAUAUGACUGCCAAAAGACAUCUUGAAGCCCAAUCAUUGUUUAUUCAGUCCGGAAACAGGCUUAAGGGAUUGCCACCCUUUGUCCCCAGCAUCUUGGAUCCUACAUUUUCCUAAUUCCAUCAUUCCUGGACCUGGACAUUCAUUGUUUUCCAAAUUCCAUCCUGAGGUGGGUGCAGGGUUAGGGUUAGGGUUAGGGUUAGGGUUAGGUCUCUGCCCCAAGAGGCGCUCCCAACAGCUGAUUGGAAGCCCUAGGGCUUCCCCGCCCAGCUGGGAGGAAAUAUCAAAACUUGGCAAUGUUAAUGCAUGGAGUUUCUUCUAUAUAAGAGUUACUGCAUCUCCCAUGUUGCUUAUCCAUGUACCUUUUGGGUAGGAGCCCUACUUGUAUCCGUUUUUGUCCAGAAUACAUUAAAAACACCUCUGCCCUUUGUCUUCAUGUCUGGUAGAUCUUUCAUUUGAAAUCUUACAAAUCUUUAAUUUGAAACACUGAUUAUUAAUUUUGGUUAGCAUAAUACUUGCCAGGCAGUUCUCUCAUAUGAUUACAUUCUAAAUUCCAUAUCAAGACACCCUCUGAGGCCGAGAGAGUGGGACUUGCCUAAUCCCAUAGUUGAUUUCCAUGGAAGAUUAAAACCCUGAUCGCCAGAGCCCUAGUCUAACAUACAAAGUGUGUAUGGAUGGGUUCUUUCCAAUGCCACUGUGAGAACUGCACAAACAAUACAUCAAAACUUCCACUCUGGGCAAGGUGGCAUAGUGAGAGGCAUGAUCCAGAUUCACCACCCACACAUGCACCUAAAGUGUGAAGAGUGAGUUAAAGAUAAAGAGCAGGAAGAAGUGAGGUUUCUCAGGCCAGCUAGAAAUAACUUAAAAUGGGAGGACUUUGUAAAUGUUUUUUUUUUAAUUGUUUCAUUUGCAUGUAAAGACUCUUUGCCCCAUUUUCCACUUGCAAAUCAGAGAUAAUUUUGCAAGCACACUCUUCAAGAUCUUUCUGC